ensembl:lncRNA
CUGACUCUUGUAGGAAUAUUACAUCAGUUUCCAAAUGGUCAAAAUGCUUGACAUAAAAGGUUAGAUCCUAGACAUCACUCUGUUGCUUUUGUGCUAAUUUAUCUGCUUCUUUAAUGAUAGGUAUUCCCAGGAGUCUACGUAGGUGGUGUGGAGUUGGUCAGGGAGGAGCACACUGCCACCUCAAUAAUAGUGACUCUGUUGGACCAGUAAGGGGAUGUGUCCCACACAUGCACUGUCAGGAUAGAAAACUUCCUCAAGAACAACUUUAAACCAUUUAUUGUUUAUUCAGCAUGGUUGCACUUCAUUUCUGUUAAAGAAUUAUCUCCAUUUUGUUGAAGAUUAGCUCUGGUUUUACAGUGAGUAACACCUUAAGAAUGAGAUACACUGGUAGAAAAUGUUAAAAAGUAGUUUAUUGAGUUUCCAUCACCAAAGAAUCAUAGAAUCAUUAAGAUUGCAAGAGACUACUAAGAUCAUCUAGUCCAACCAUUAACACACCACCACCACCAUGCCCACUAACCAUGUUCCUCAGUGUCUCAUCUACCCUUUUCUUGAAAACCUCCAGAGGUGUUGACUCCACCACUUCUAUUCAGCUUAAUUUCCUUCUAGAGCUACCUGAACCUCCAUUCAGAUACUUCAUGUAUUUGCUAUCUGGAGAGUACUGGAAGGAGUGGAUGAAAACACAUAAUGCCACUAUCCAUCUGGUCUUUCAGAGAUGAUUAUGUUCUCCACAAGGAAUAAUGCUUUUGCCUUUUUUGCAGCCUUUCUCUAGUGCACUAAAUUGUCAGUGGUGUAAAUAUUCACCUUUCUUCAUAAAUAAGUACCAGACCUUUGUACUAGACCUAGGUCCAGACACAGACCAGUUAAGCUUUGAAUAGCAACGGAACAAACCAGCUGCGAAAAAUGUGAGAAGCUCAUGCAAUUUCUUCUGGUUAGGAUUCACUUUGAGGUUGUUUACCAACCCUUAAAUGCAAACAGGGAAGGUCUAUUAUUUGAUCACAUCUGACUUUCAAACAGAGAUCUCAUUAUAGUGGCUUUCAACAGCACAGCAGUAUUUUCAAGCUUUCAGAUGUGCAGCAGCUCUUCAUUAUUACCAAAAUGGGGUAAAAAAGGAUGCUCAUUUUUUUAAUGACUGUUGAGAGAAAAAACUCCCAUUCUUUGUCAUGUCUGAUCCAGAAAG